rnacentral:rRNA from 1 species
GGUCGCCAACCGCGAGGGGGAGCCAAUCUCAGAAACCCGAUCGUAGUCCGGAUCGCAGUCUGCAACUCGACUGCGUGAAGUCGGAAUCGCUAGUAAUCGCGGAUCAGAAUGUCGCGGUGAAUACGUUCCCGGGUCUUGUACACACCGCCCGUCACACCAUGGGAGUGGGUUUCACCAGAAGUAGGUAGCCUAACCGCAAGGAGGGCGCUUACCACGGUGGGAUUCAUGACUGGGGUGAAGUCGUAACAAGGUAGCCGUAUCGGAAGGUGCGGCUGGAUCACCUCCUUUU